UACGGAGGGUGCGAGCGUUAUCCGGAUUCACUGGGUUUAAAGGGUGCGUAGGUGGGAAUGUAAGUCAGUGGUGAAAUCUCCGUGCUUAACAUGGAAACUGCCAUUGAUACUAUGUUUCUUGAAUUUUCCGGAGGUUAGCGGAAUAUGUCAUGUAGCGGUGAAAUGCUUAGAUAUGACAUAGAACACCAAUUGCGAAGGCAGAUAACUACAGGGAUAUUGACACUGAGGCACGAAAGCGUGGGGAUCAAACAGG
rnacentral:rRNA from 1 species